rnacentral:misc_RNA from 1 species
GAUGAAGAACGCAGCGAAAUGCGAUACUUGGUGUGAAUUGCAGAAUCCCGUGAACCAUCGAGUUUUUGAACGCAAGUUGCGCCCGAAGCCGUUAGGCCGAGGGCACGCCUGCCUGGGUGUCACACAUCGUUGCCCCCCCAUCUACUCCUUCGGGAUUGCGGGGGGCGGAUGAUGGCCUCCCGUGCGCCUCGUCGCGCGGUUGGCAUAAAUGCCAAGUCCUCGGCGACGCACGCCACGACAAUCGGUGGUUGCGAAACCUCGGUUGCCCGUCGUGUGCGGUCGUCGCGCAUCGAGGGCUCGAAAAAAUUGCCGGGCUCCGGCUCGGCUUUCAACGCGACCCCAGGUCAGGCGGGGUUACCCGCUGAAUUUAAGCAUAUCAAUAAGCGGAGGA